rnacentral:rRNA from 1 species
UACGGAGGGUGCAAGCGUUAAUCGGAAUUACUGGGCGUAAAGGGCGCGUAGGUGGUUUACUAAGUUAGUUGUGAAAUUCCUGGGCUUAACCUGGGGUGGUCAGCUGAUACUGGUAGACUGGAGUACGAGAGAGGGUAGUGGAAUUUCCGGUGUAGCGGUGAAAUGCGUAGAUAUCGGAAGGAACACCAGUGGCGAAGGCGACUACCUGGUUCGAUACUGACACUGAGGCGCGAAAGCGUGGGGAGCAAACAGG